ensembl:lncRNA
AAACUAUAAUACAAUACAUUGAGAAAAUCUUGUUUACUUGCAACUGGGUCACCACUUGACUCCUGGAAAUGGCAGAUUUGAACGGCUCCUCUCAUUUAAACAUACAAUAUGUAUCAUAUGGUUUGUGUACAGCCUUUAGGCGUGCCGUCUGAUACUGAGACGAUGGAGUCUUUCGUAAUGACAAAGAUCACUUUCACUCUAGCAGGUAGGUGGCAUGAGGUUGGAGCGCUGCCAUACAGUGUGAAGACACUCAGACGGUGAACGAGGACAAGAUGAGGAGCACGAGAGGCUUGACUGUCAUGUCCUCCUCCUCACUGCCUCAUGGGACUGGGUCCUCAUCAUGUCAUGAAACAGAUGCGUCUCUUUGAUGUGAACAUGCCAGGCUGUAGCAUUUGAUAUAUGCCAAACCGGAUGGAAGCAGAUUAAAAGGAAAAGGAUGCAGUCCCUGAAAAUCAUAAAUGUUUGUGACUGACGUCUCAAGUAUCAAACGUCGCAGGAAAAAAACAUGUGGAACCAAGAAAAUAUAAGCUAUGAAAGUCACAUGGGAAUGUCAGCAAACAUUCUCAUUUCAUCACAAAUGUAAAGCACCUGAGAAAAAUACAGUUAAAGAUAAUAGCCCAGCUUCAUCGUCCUUUUAUAGGAGGCAGAUUUUGUCAUGGACGGCUUUCUAUGGAAGUAAAAGCAGAUGCAGGGGAAAUGGAGGGGAAAUGUGACCGGGCUUCAUGUAACAGUUUAAUCUACCGGUACAGCCGAUGAUGUCACAUGAUGGAGUGGUGACACUAAUUAGUCAUGGAGGAUGUGCAGCAAUGCGUGCGAGUUACCGGGCACUUUCUACACAUGGGUACAAAAUGGG